rnacentral:rRNA from 1 species
GAUAAACGCUGGCGGCGCACAUAAGACAUGCAAGUCGAACGGAAGUCGUUAUAAAAAGGAAUGAAGAUUUAUCUGAAUGAGAUUUUAUAACAAAGGCUUUAGUGGCGGACUGGUGAGUAACGCGUGAGCAACCUGCCUAUUAGAGGGGGAAUAACAGUGAGAAAUCACUGCUAAUACCGCAUAUGCCAUGAAUAUCACAUGAUAAAAAUGGAAAGGAGAAAUACCGCUAAUAGAUGGGCUCGCGUCUGAUUAGAUAGUUGGUGGGGUAACGGCCUACCAAGUCAACGAUCAGUAGCCGGACUGAGAGGUUGAACGGCCACAUUGGGACUGAGAUACGGCCCAG